rnacentral:lncRNA from 10 species
CGGGCCUGAGCGCAGGCUGCCUCCGGGACCCCACGGCUGUCCGGACGUGCCAUGGGCGCGCAGCUGCCGGGCAACGUGUUGUAUGUGCCACAGUUUACCCAUUCACCAAGAAGGACAUCUUGCUUGCUUCUAAGUUUUCAAAGUUAUGAAUAAAGCUGCUACAGACAUCCAUAUGCAGAUUUUUGCAUGGAUUUAAGCGUUCAACUUAUUGGGUAAAUACCAAGAAGCAGAACUGCUGGAUCAUACAGUAAGAAUGUUUCACUUUCUAAGAAACUGCCAGACUGUCCUCCCAAGGUAAACACUACACGUGAAGAGUGGUGAAAGGGAACAUUGAUUACUGAAGUGCCCUGGAGAGGGAAAGCACUGGUCAACAUCACAUGGACAAAUUUCAUUGUUUUCUAAAGAUGGCCUGGAAGUAGUCUUUGCCACUGCUUCCUCCACAAACAGCUCUUCAUAACAUGGGCUGCAUGAAAUCAAAGCAAACUUUCCCAUUUCCUACCAUAUAUGAAGGUGAGAAGCAGCAUGAGAGUGAAGAACCCUUUAUGCCAGAAGAGAGAUGUCUACCUAGGAUGGCUUCUCCAGUUAAUGUCAAAGAGGAAGUGAAGGAACCUCCAGGGACCAAUACUGUGAUCUUGGAAUAUGCACACCGCCUGUCUCAGGAUAUCUUGUGUGAUGCCUUGCAGCAAUGGGCAUGCAAUAACAUCAAGUACCAUGACAUUCCAUACAUUGAGAGUGAGGGGCCUUGAGGCUGUAGGAUGACAACACUUUGACUGUGGAGGUGCUAGUUUGAAUAAAUGUGACAAAAGC